rnacentral:rRNA from 1 species
AUUGAACGCUGGCGGCGGGCCUAACACAUGCAAGUCGAGCGGAUGAAGGGAGCUUGCUCCUGGAUUCAGCGGCGGACGGGUGAGUAAUGCCUAGGAAUCUGCCUGGUAGUGGGGGAUAACGUCCGGAAACGGGCGCUAAUACCGCAUACGUCCUGAGGGAGAAAGUGGGGGAUCUUCGGACCUCACGCUAUCAGAUGAGCCUAGGUCGGAUUAGCUAGUUGGUGGGGUAAAGGCCUACCAAGGCGACGAUCCGUAACUGGUCUGAGAGGAUGAUCAGUCACACGGACAAUAGAACACGGCCCAACCUCCGACGGGAGCCGGCGGUGGGGAUUAUUGGAAAAGGGGGGAAAGCUUGAUCCAGCCAUGCCGGGUGGGUGAAAAAGGUCUUGGGAUUGAAAAGAUUUUAAAGUUGGGGGAAAGGAAAAUAAGUUAAUACCUUGCUUUUUGCGCGUACCAAAAAAAAUAGACCCGGGCAAGUUUGGUC